rnacentral:rRNA from 1 species
AUUGAACGCUGGCGGAAUGCUUUACACAUGCAAGUCGAACGGCAGCACGGGGGCAACCCUGGUGGCGAGUGGCGAACGGGUGAGUAAUACAUCGGAACGUGCCCAGUCGUGGGGGAUAACGUAGCGAAAGCUACGCUAAUACCGCAUACGAUCUACGGAUGAAAGCGGGGGAUCGCAAGACCUCGCGCGAUUGGAGCGGCCGAUGGCAGAUUAGGUAGUUGGUGGGGUAAAGGCUCACCAAGCCGACGAUCUGUAGCUGGUCUGAGAGGACGACCAGCCACACUGGGACUGAGACACGGCCCAGACUCCUACGGGAGGCAGCAGUGGGGAAUUUUGGGACAAUGGGCGCAAGCCUGAUCCAGCCAUUCCGCGUGCAGGAUGAAGGCCUUCGGGUUGUAACUAGC